AUUGAACGCUGGCGGCAUGCCUUACACAUGCAAGUCGAACGGCAGCACGGGUGCUUGCACCUGGUGGCGAGUGGCGAACGGGUGAGUAAUACAUCGGAACGUACCUUAUCGUGGGGGAUAAUGCAGCGAAAGCUGUGCUAAUACCGCAUACGCCCUGAGGGGGAAAGCGGGGGAUCGCAAGACCUCGCGCGAUUAGAGCGGCCGAUGCCUGAUUAGCUGGUUGGUGGGGUAAAAGCCGACCAAGGCGACGAUCAGUAGCUGGUCUGAGAGGACGGUCAGCCACACUGGGACUGAGACACGGCCCAGACUCCUACGGGAGGCAGCAGUGGGGAAUUUUGGACAAUGGGGGCAACCCUGAUCCAGCAAUGCCGCGUGAGUGAAGAAGGCCUUCGGGUUGUAAAGCUCUUUUGUCAGGGAAGAAACACCGGCUCUAACACAGUCUGGGAAUGACGGUACCUGAAGAAUAAGCACCGGCUAACUACGUGCCAGCAGCCGCCGUAA
rnacentral:rRNA from 1 species